rnacentral:rRNA from 1 species
UACAGAGGGUGCAAGCGUUGUUCGGAAUUAUUGGGCGUAAAGCGCGUGUAGGCGGCGUGACAAGUCGGGUGUGAAAAGCCCUCAGCUCAACUGAGGAAGUGCGCCCCGAAACUGUCGUGCUUGAGUGCCGGAGAGGGUGGCGGAAUUCCCCAAGUAGAGGUGAAAUUCGUAGAUAUGGGGGAGGAACACCGGUGGCGAAGGCGGCCACCUGGACGGUAACUGACGCUGAGGCGCGAAAGCCAGGGGAGCAAACGGG